rnacentral:misc_RNA from 1 species
UCUGAGGAUAUCGAUCACACGACUAGUUAUCAAACAUUCAAAAAGAAAUGGGGGAAUGACCCGCGGUUUGAAGCUUUGGAUCGUAAGGAUCGGGAGAAUUUAUUGAACGAAAGGGUCCUUUGUCUGAAGAAGGCUGCCGAUGAAAAGGCUCAAGCUUUAUGGGCUGCUUCCACCACUAGUUUCAAGUCCAUGCUGCAGGAGAGAGGAGAUAUCAACG